ensembl:snRNA U6 U6 spliceosomal RNA
GUGCUUGCUUUGGCAGCACAUAUACUAAAAUUGGAACAAUACAGAGAUUAGCAUGGCCCCUGAACAGGAUGAUAAGCAAAUUCGUGAAGCAUUCCAUAUUUCU